GGAACCGUGGUGUAGAGGUCUAACAUGCGUCCCUGUCAAGGACGAGGUCGCGGGUUCGAAUCCCGUCGGUUCCG
rnacentral:tRNA from 1 species